AAUUGUAUAAAGAAAAAAAUAUGUUUUUCUGUAUCAGUUGGAGUUCCUUGUUGUAUACAGAAACGUGUUUGUGGAUCGAGUCAGGUUAACCUGACGGGGGUAGUACCAAAUAUACAAGGAAUUUACUUUAGUGAAAUAUCCAUUUUUAAGAUCCAUUGAACUUUGUUUCCAUAAGCGGAAGUUUAGUUUGUUCACGAACACCACGACAUCAUAAUGGACUUAAAACCCUCGAGGUACCCUGAGCAGGUAGAAGAAGAAGGACUCGACCCUAUCAACGCUCACAACCUUCCUUCGGACUUUCUAAUACACAUCUGAUUUUUGUUACUAACCAAUUUAUAUUUCAGCCAGUAAAAAACUUCUUUAGAUAGAUAUCUGUACCUAUUAACAGAAAAAAAUCGGUACCUAUACCUGUUUUCUAGUUAAUAAUGUUUAACCCUACUGAGAAUAUUUUAACCGGUAGUACAACAAAUUUCUGUAACAAAAGAAAGCUUCAUAAGUAAUUAUAAAAUUAAAUUACUUAAAGUAAAUUUUUGUAUACUCUUUGAAAAUGGUUUAAGCACCGAA